AUUAUUUUAAAUACAAUUAUAUCUUUGUGGGUGUAUUUUAUGGAAAUAAAUAAAUUGAGUUAAAAAAAAAUCAUCAAUUCACUUUUACGUGGCUUUAGUGGGAAUUGCCACAUUACACCUUUGUUGUCAUUCCUCAAACAUCAUGACCCCAAAGAAAUGGAGAGAACUCAGUGAAUAUGAAACCCCAAAGCCCAAAAAUUUUCUCCUCAAAGCUAUCUCGUAUCACUUUCCUUCUGCCGGCGUUCCGUCGCCGCCAUUCAUGCUGGUUGCACGAAUUGUCUUGUGUUCAGUUCAGCUUUUCAAUUUUCUCUCUCCUUGGUGUUGAUGCUGGUGGCUCGAAUUACCGUCGCUGCUGCCAUUUUUUCUCUCUCCACUAAUUUUCUUGGUGCUAAAGUUGCUGCCGAGUUAUUUCUUCAAAAUCGACAAUAUGCAAUGGGUUUUUGGAAAUAUAUGCUAAAUGAAAGUUGUAUAUCUCUUCGAGAUAUUCAAUUUGGAGUCAAAAAUCACUCAAUUCCGACUUGUGUACUAUAAGUUAUGCCUCUUGCAAGUUUUUGUUAUAUGAUGUUGUUUUCUCCCUCCUCUGCUGCGUUCUGUGAUGGGUCGGUGCCGCCGCUGUUGGUGGUUGUUGUUGCAACCAUUGUUUUGGUUGUUGAUGUUGCUUCUUGGGAUUGUUGUUUGGUGUUUUUCUCAUUCUUCAGAAUCUUGUUCACAUAAACCAUUGUUACAGGUAUUAGUUCAAUUUCCUCUUCUCCUAUCUUUCUUCUUUUAUUUAUAUUCAAAAAUCAGAUUUUUAUGAGGUUUUGUAGCUAUGAUUUUCUUAAUGGAUUAAGAUAAAAAUGUUGGUGUUGUUUGUCAAUUAGUUUGAAGAGUUGAACAGCAAAAUGGUUUUGGUCUUAAAUUGUUUAAAGACUUCCAUUAGUAGAAUAUUUUUGAAUCUGGGUAUAGAUUGCAUAAUCAAAUUGUGAACUGGAAGCUAACUAGUAUUUUUUUAAAAAGAGAAAUUAUUUAACAUCAUUAUUUCUAUAGAUAUUUAUCUAAUAAUAUGUUAUUGUGUUUAAAGAAAUCAGAUAACAAUCGAGUAUUUAUCAUACUCACUCUUAUUUUUAAGAAAUGAAGUGGUUAAGUCAUGGGUAUCUUCUGUAUCAUUAUUGAUUUUGAAAAAAAAAAAAAGUAUUUAAGUUAGUUUUGUUAGCAGAAGCUUAUGAUUGUAGGGCUCUCUUGGCAUUCUGUAAAUUGGCGAGUUAAGUUUUGAAAAUAGAGUAUCUUUUUCAUAUUGGAUAUAAGUUAUAAGUGAUACGACUUAUAGUAAGUUAUAGUUUCCUAGUGUUGAAUAGUUGGUUGAGUUUAGUUAGUAUAUAUAACAUGAGAUUGGGUUGAUUAUAAAUUGUUGUUAUUAUUGUUGUGAGGUGAUGGUUGGAGAUUGGUUAUGAAUUUGGAGAUAUUGUACUCUUGGAAAUUAUUAUGGAAUCGAACGUUAUUUGGGAGAAUAAAAGAGAGUUCAUUAUUAGAAAUUGUGCAGGCAAGCACGCUCCAGAAUGGAUUGAUGAUCGUUAGUUAUGGUAGGAGAGGUGUCCAGUUCAACCCGAGAUGGAAAUCAACGUUGUUGAAAAAUAUUCUUACAAUGUAUGAUUUUAUCUAUUGAGAGAUUUAAUUGGUUUAGACUUUGAAGUUGUAUAUACUAUUGUGGGCUGUCGUAUCGUGGCGAAAAAGAACUGGAAGUGUAUUUUUGAAUUAUAUUUUGCUGCA